GCGGGCGUGGUGAAAUUGGCAGACACGCAAGACUUAGGAUCUUGUGACGCAAGUCGUGGGGGUUCAAGUCCCUCCGCCCGCACCA
rnacentral:tRNA from 1 species